AGUGAACGCUGGCGGUAGGCCUAACACAUGCAAGUCGAACGGCAACACAGAGGAGCUUGCUCCUUGGGUGGCGAGUGGCGGACGGGUGAGGAAUACAUCGGAAUCUACUCUGUCGUGGGGGAUAACGUAGGGAAACUUACGCUAAUACCGCAUACGACCUACGGGUGAAAGCAGGGGAUCUUCGGACCUUGCGCGAUUGAAUGAGCCGAUGUCGGAUUAGCUAGUUGGCGGGGUAAAGGCCCACCAAGGCGACGAUCCGUAGCUGGUCUGAGAGGAUGAUCAGCCACGCUGGAAGUGAGACACGGUCCAGACUCCGACGGGAGGCAGCAGUGGGGAAUAUUGGACAAGGGGCGCAAGCCUGAUCCAGCCAUACCGCGUGGGUGAAGAAGGCCUUCGGGUUGUAAAGCCCUUUUGUUGGGAAAGAAAUCCAGCUGGCUAAUACCCGGUUGGGAUGACGGUACCCAAAGAAUAAGCACCGGCUAACUUCGUGCCAGCCGCCGCCGUAA
rnacentral:rRNA from 1 species